UCUCCAUGCUAUCUUUAGCACAAGAAGAGAAGAAUGGUAAUGAGGACAGACCGUCAUCUCUGUAGUCUCCUCUGUGUGGGUAGCAAGUUAGUAUUGGAGUCUGCUGUGCAAGACACGUCUACACCCGUCGUUGCUGACUGAAUCUUCACGUCAUGGCCUGUGUGUUCUGUGUAGUCCCUGAUAGUGCAACUCAGGGGAAAUACUAGCAGAGAGGCUGCAAGUAGUCUGUGGAUAACCUGUGAAGAUCCCCGAAGUUUUUCUGUGUGGGACUGACAUUAAUUUUGAGGAUUGGAAUGAGCACUGCAGAUAGAGCAAUGUGUUUUUCAGCUAAGAGGGUUUAACCUUCUUUGUCAAUGACAAAUGCUCAUGUAGAUGCACUAAGAGGAUAUUUGAGCUUGGAAAAGUUGGGAGGUACUCCGGGAUUUGUUUUUCACCUGCAAGCAAGCAGCACAGCUUUAAAGGAACAGACCAGAAAGAGACCAGCUUGAUACAGACCACAGCAGUGCUACUUGGGGUUAAGCUGUCCUGCGUGAGAGCACAGAGAGCUCUCUUUAGAUGGUUUUUAGUGCAGUGAGGAUGGACAUCUGUGAUCAUCAUCAGCUGUGAGAAAACCCAGUCAAACCUCAUAACUCAAGAAUUAAGAUCAUAUCCUACUUUGGGCCUGCUGCUUGCCUCCCUUGUGGUUUUAGUGAAUCAAAGGAACUUGCAGUCUGUGUGGGCAAGGCUGGAAGAUAAGAGGCACAUACCUUCAGGAGGCGGUGUGUGCUA